rnacentral:rRNA from 1 species
AUGUGUGAUGCUAGUGAUUAUGUUGUAGGUGUUGUUCUAGGACAAAUAGUUGAUAAGAAAUUAAAUGUUAUUCAAUAUGCUAGUAAAACUCUAGAUAGUGCCCACAGAAAUUAUGCUACUACUGAAAAAGAAUUUUUAGCAGUUGUAUUUGCUUGUGAUAAGUUCAGACCUUAUAUUGUUGAUUCUAAAGUAACUAUUCACACUGAUCAUGCUGCUAUUAAAUAUCUUAUGGAAAAGAAAGAUGCUAAACCUAGACUUAUUAGAUGGGUUCUCUUGCUACAAGAAUUUGAUUUGCAUAUUAUUGAUAGAAAGGGAGCCGAGAACCCCGUUGCAAACAACUUGUCUAGGUUAGAGAAUGUUCUUGAUAACCCACUACCUAUUGAUGAUAGCUUUCCCGAUGAACAAUUGGCUGUCAUA